UUACCGAAUCCAUGCACGGAUUUACAUGAAGCGUAAGCAAGCCAAAUAGUUAACCAGAGAGAGAGAGAGAGACCAAAACAGCAUGGCUGUUUCCACCAUCUUAGAUUGUAUUGAUUAUUCUUCGCUGUAACGUCUGUCUCUCUCACACACUCACGGUAGCCCUCUUUCUCUCCCUUUCUGUCUGUCCCUCCCUCCCUCUUUCUGCCUCUGUUCUGCCAUCUUCUCUACUCGGCGAUCAGCAUUUGGCUUUUUCCAUUUGUGGCAGAUUACUGUAACGCUAUUGUACAACAACUUCCUGCCUCUUUUGGCUCUGGUUCUACAAACUGCAAAAGCAGAGCUUGUGGCUUCAACUUUUUCCCCUCGACCUUUAACUAAAGGAGCUCUAUAAGGAAAGAAAAUGAGGAAGGAGAUAUGUAAACUGUGUCGGUGGCUGAGGAACUAUUUUCAUUGCAUUUCUGCUUUAUAAACUGCUGAGAAAUAAAGAGGGCAAGAGGGGACUACAUGCCUAGCAGAGACAAUAAGAGAAACAAAGGAUUCAAAAAGAAGAAGAAGAGGAAGAGAGACAGAGAGAGAAAAGGAGCAAGGGAAAGUUCCUCCUGGGAACAAGCUGGAAAUUAUGGACCGAUAUCAGACCUCAGAGUGGACAACCUAUCCAAAGAGGGACGCGCCCUAACUGUAACUAACAACUACUUCUGGCAGCCCUUCAACAGCCAAACAUAUUGUCCUGGAUCAGGGCAGCUUUCCUAUGGCAGCAUCGAACUAGGGCAGCUAAGGCAAGAAAUCAUUUCAAACUGCAGUAUCAAUAUUUGGCAUUGAAAGUAAAUAAAUGUAUUUCCCAAUAAGGUAGUUUUAAUUGUAAACGACGAUACCUUCAAUUUUAUGGAGAUUUUAUGCAUCAUAUUUGAACAUGUUAAGGUGAUUCAGACUAAGACAGAUUAAACAUUUCUUCACCUUGAGCCACCUGAGACAAAAUGGGAAUAUGUGUGAAUAAUGUGAUGUUACGAGACCAUAAUGUACCUCUGAUACAUGGUACACCAAUUUAACCAUAUAUGAGUCUGAAGAUCUACAUUUUCAGUUGCCACUAUUUGACAUAAACAGAAGCAAGCACAAAUAUGUUUUGCAUUAACAUGUGAGAUGACAUUAAUUAUAAUAUAAAAUAAUGAUAUUUAAAUAUACUAAAAUGUACUUCAGAUUAAUUGAAAAAUCCAUUUAAAAGUUAUUUAUUAAUUGUAAUACCCAUGUCAUUAUAAUCAUUAUGAGGUAAUAUAUCAUUUCAUCAACACUAAUGAUGGGUAUUAAGUGGUGUUACCCAAACUGCACUGUAAAAACAAUGAUCUAAGGCACUACAUUACCUGAGCUACCGUGACAAAUUCUCAAAAGUCAAUGAGGCACAAUAAUAAAAAGCUAAUUCUC